UCCGGCAUGGUGUAGUGGUUAGCAUUUCCGCCUUUCAUGAUUCUCCAAGAAAGUUCGCGGGAGACCGGGGUUCAAUUCCCCGUACCGGAA